UACGUAGGGUGCGAGCGUUAAUCGGAAUUACUGGGCGUAAAGCGUGCGCAGGCGGUCUGUUAAGACCGAUGUGAAAUCCCCGGGCUUAACCUGGGAACUGCAUUGGUGACUGGCAGGCUUUGAGUGUGGCAGAGGGAGGUAGAAUUCCACGUGUAGCAGUGAAAUGCGUAGAGAUGUGGAGGAAUACCGAUGGCGAAGGCAGCCUCCUGGGCCAACACUGACGCUCAUGCAC
rnacentral:rRNA from 1 species